GAUGAACGCUGGCGGCGUGCCUAAUACAUGCAAGUCGAGCGAACGGACGAGAAGCUUGCUUCUCUGAUGUUAGCGGCGGACGGGUGAGUAACACGUGGAUAACCUACCUAUAAGACUGGGAUAACUUCGGGAAACCGGAGCUAAUACCGGAUAAUAUUUUGAACCGCAUGGUUCAAAAGUGAAAGACGGUCUUGCUGUCACUUAUAGAUGGAUCCGCGCUGCAUUAGCUAGUUGGUAAGGUAACGGCUUACCAAGGCAACGAUGCAUAGCCGACCUGAGAGGGUGAUCGGCCACACUGGAACUGAGACACGGUCCAGACUCCUACGGGAGGAAGCAGUAGGGAAUCUUCCGCAAUGGGCGAAAGCCUGACGUAGCAACGCCGCGUGAGUGAUGAAGGUCUUCGGAUCGUAAAACUCUGUUAUUAGGGAAGAACAUAUGUGUAAGUAACUGUGCACAUCUUGACGGUACCUAAUCAGAAAGCCACGGCUAACUACGUG
rnacentral:rRNA from 1 species